UACAGGGGGGGCAAGCGUUGUUCGGAAUUACUGGGCGUAAAGGGCGCGUAGGCGGCCCGCUAAGUCGAACGUGAAAUCCCCGGGCUCAACCCGGGAACUGCGUCCGAUACUGGCAGGCUUGAAUCCGGGAGAGGGAUGUGGAAUUCCAGGUGUAGCGGUGAAAUGCGUAGAUAUCUGGAGGAACACCGGUGGCGAAGGCGGCAUCCUGGACCGGUAUUGACGCUGAGGCGCGAAAGCCAGGGGAGCAAACGGG
rnacentral:rRNA from 1 species